rnacentral:rRNA from 1 species
AACGCUAGCUACAGGCUUAACACAUGCAAGUCGAGGGGAAACGAUAGAGAAAGCUUGCUUUUUCUAGGCGUCGACCGGCGCACGGGUGAGUAACGCGUAUCCAACCUGCCCACCACUUGGGGAUAACCUUGCGAAAGUAAGACUAAUACCCAAUGAUAUCUCUAGAAGACAUCUGAAGGAGAUUAAAGAUUUAUCGGUGAUGGAUGGGGAUGCGUCUGAUUAGCUUGUUGGCGGGGUAACGGCCCACCAAGGCUACGAUCAGUAGGGGUUCUGAGAGGAAGGUCCCCCACAUUGGAACUGAGACACGGUCCAAACUCCUACGGGAGGCAGCAGUGAGGAAUAUUGGUCAAUGGGCGAGAGCCUGAACCAGCCAAGUAGCGUGCAGGAUGACGGCCCUAUGGGUUGUAAACUGCUUUUAUAAGGGAAUAAAGUGAGUCUCGUGAGACUUUUUGCAUGUACCUUAUGAAUAAGGACCGGCUAAUUCCGUGCCAGCAGCCGCGGUAAUACGGAAGGUCCGGGCGUUAUCCGGAUUUAUUGGGUUUAAAGGGAGCGUAGGCCGGAGAUUAAGCGUGUUGUGAAAUGUAGAUGCUCAACAUCUGCACUGCAGCGCGAACUGGUUUCCUUGAGUACGCACAAAGUGGGCGGAAUUCGUGGUGUAGCGGUGAAAUGCUUAGAUAUCACGAAGAACUCCGAUUG